UCAUGCAGGAAGAAGAUUUGGGUUUUACCCAGUUGUUCAAUGAGCUUUUGCCUACAAUGCCUUGGAACUCUCUCAUGGAUAGGAUGAUGGGAGAGCUUCACUCUUUGGGGAUUACUAUCGAGCAGAUUGAGGACAUUUUGAAAAGGGCUCCAUUGCAGCCCCGGAUCAUAACAGCCAUAAAAUCAUUCCACACUUUUGGGUGUGAUUUGAGGAUUCUGAGCGAUGCGAAUCGAUUCUUCAUUGAGACAAUCCUGAAACAUCAUGGGCUG